AGAGUUUGAUCAUGGCUCAGAACGAACGCUGGCGGCGUGCUUAACACAUGCAAGUCGAGCGAGAAAGGGGGGGCAACCCCCUGAGUAGAGCGGCGCACGGGUGAGUAACGCGUGGGUAACCUACCCCCAGGCGGGGGAUAACUACUCGAAAGGGUGGCUAAUACCGCAUGAGACCACGGGAUCUUCGGAUCCUGAGGCUAAAGAUCGCACCGGCUUGCCGGUGCUGUCACCAGGGGAUGGGCCCGCGUCCGAUUAGCUAGUUGGCGAGGUAAUGGCUCACCAAGGCUACGAUCGGUAGCUGGUCUGAGAGGAUGAUCAGCCACACUGGAACUGGAACACGGUCCAGACUCCUACGGGAGGCAGCAGUGAGGAAUAUUGCGCAAUGGGGGAAACCCUGACGCAGCAACGCCGCGUGGGUGAAGAAGGCCUUCGGGUCGUAAAGCCCUUUCGGACGGGACGAACGCUCCGCGGUGAAAGCCGCGGAGUCUGACGGUACCGUAGGAAGAAGCACCGGCUAACUCCGUGCCAGCAGCCGCGGUAAUACGGAGGGUGCGAGCGUUGUUCGGAAUUACUGGGCGUAAAGCGCGUGUAGGCGGCCUUGCAAGUCAGGCGUGAAAGCCCUCGGCUUAACCGGGGAAGUGCGUCUGAAACUGCUUGGCUUGAGUACGGGAGAGGGAGGCGGAAUUCCCAGUGUA
rnacentral:rRNA from 1 species